ACGGAGGGUGCAAGCGUUAAUCGGAAUUACUGGGCGUAAAGCGCGCGUAGGCGGUUUGAUAAGUUGGAUGUGAAAUCCCCGGGCUCAACCUGGGAACUGCAUUCACAACUGAAUGACUAGAGUAUGGUAGAGGGUGGUGGAAUUCCCUGUGUAGCGGUGAAAUGCGUAGAUAUAGGAAGGAACACCAGUGGCGAAGGCGACCACCUGGACUGAUACUGACACUGAGGUGCGAAAGCGUGGGGAGCAAACAG
rnacentral:rRNA from 1 species